AAUGAACGUUGGCGGCGUGGAUUAGGCAUGCAAGUCGAGCGAGAACCGUAGCAAUACGGGGACAGCGGCGAAAGGGACAGUAAUGUGUAGGUACCUACCCUGAGGUUCGGGAUAGCUGCGGGAAACUGCAGGUAAUACCGAAUAAUGUCUUCGGACCAAAGGUGUGAUUCCACCUUGGGAGGGGCCUGCAUCCUAUUAGCUAGUUGGCGAGGUAACGGCUCACCAAGGCAACGAUGGGUAGCGGGUGUGAGAGCACGACCCGCGUCAUUGGGACUGAGACACUGCCCAGACACCUACGGGUGGCUGCAGUCGAGGAUCUUCGGCAAUGGGCGCAAGCCUGACCGAGCGACGCCGCGUGCGGGAUGAAGGCCUUCGGGUUGUAAACCGCUGUCGUAGAGGAGGAAAUGCAGGGGGGUUCUCCCCUCUGUUUGACCUAUUCUAGGAGGAAGUACGGGCUAAGUUCGUGCCAGCCGCCGCCGUAAGAC
rnacentral:rRNA from 1 species